AGCUUUCUAUCAUGAGAUCAUCAAUGAAACUAGCAAAAGAACAGAGAGCUCAGUUCAUCCCCAGUGCUCGAUCAACAAAGUGAAUUCAUUUAUUUCCUCCUCAGGGGACCAAGAAGGUCUGUACCACACUUCAAACCAGUCCAUUCAUCCAUCCUUCAGCUCCAGUUCAAACAUUGUGGACUUAACAAAUGAAACAACAGACAUCACCGUUAAAGGAGAAACAUUCUGAGAGGAAGAAAAAGAGGAAGAGACGCUGAAGUAGAAAUGUGUUUGAGGUUUGAUCCUGGUUCAUGAUUUGUGUAGUUCACCAGCAGACAGGUUUUUGUAUCACGUCUUUUCACUGUGGAGGGGUGAUAUGAUCUUUGGCUCUGGAACUAGACUCUUUGUUUCAGACGAGGAGCAGGUGGUGAAGCCCGUGGUGAGCGUGUACCCGGCAGCAUCCAGAGGCCGGCUGGAGGAGAAGAGCUCCCUGCUGUGUUUGGCCUCAGCCAUGUUUCCUCCUGUGGUCAGAAUCUCCUGGAGACGACAAACGGAGAGCGGAUGUUUAGAGGAGCUGCCCUCUGCUGACGGACAGCAGCUGGAGCUCAGAGAGUCUGGAUGUACUGCCUCCGUCUUACAGAUCUAUCAGACAAAGUUCAGCUAUGAAUACAGCUGCUACGUGCAGCACGAGGGGGGAACAGUGGAGGCUCUGAUAGAUACAGCGGAUCCCUCUGUCCCGUCUCCAUACAAGGUGAAGCUGCUCUUGCUGCUCUACACAGUGCUGACAGUGAAGAGUCUGGUGUACUGCUGUGGACUCUUCCUGCUGACCGUCCUCAGAAACAUCUCAUAAAUGUAUCUCCUUUAUCGCUUAGAUGAAUUUAAAAAUGUCAAUCAUGACUAUAUAUAUGCAAUUAUGAUCAAACAACAUUUUGCAGCAGUGUAAAACAAAUCCUAUAUUAUAUACAGUAAAUGUUAUUGUUUUGUAUAAUACUUUAGCAAAUGAUGCGCAAUGUUUAGAGCUAUUAGCGGCUAAGAUGCUUUCUUAAUUAAUCAGGCCCUCAGUCUCUCGUAACAAGCUCUCUUUAUAGUUUCACACACCACAGAGAAUAAAAUGUACAGGAAGAUAUGAAUACAAGCACACACAUUGACCAGGAACAAAAAGCUCACAAAGAAAAGUAAACUUGUAAAAAUUCAGUGUGUUGAUUUGUCUGCAGGUUUACUGUUGACCCUUUAAACGGUGGUGUCAGUGUUUUAUGUAGCGCUCUACGCUGAUGAUAUUCUUGUUUACAUGUAGAAACAAAACAUGACCAAGCAGCUUCAUCGGUGGAGAGCUGAAGCUGAAAGAU